GGCUAUGCCUCAAUUGAUAAAGUGAACUAAUUGCCUACUUCAAAAGCAGUUUUGCAUGAAAGUCAACAUCUAAUUGGAAUUUACAAUGCCCGAUAUUUCUACACAUCUGCCACAAAUUUUAUGGAAAACAAUAUUUAUAGAAACUGAACAUACCUUGGUUAAACGUAUAUGAAAUGGAUAACCAUCAUCGAAGAACCUCAACUAGCUGUCGGCAACAUGCAGGUCGACUGAGGAAUUUUCCGGUGUAUCCUUUAUGGACUGUACUCCGUCUUAGCACUAUCCUCAAGUUUUACCCGAGAGGCCACGCUUCAGGUUGGACCGUCUUCCAUAUAUCUACUGACUUCAUAUAAACAAAAGUGUACUAAAGGCUCACUGAUCUACACUACCAGCUCAUGCUCAACGUUACUGAACAACAAAGUAAUCCGACAAUCAGACUGGACCCGGUCAUGUUAGAUACCAGAGGAAGACGAAAAUAUAAUUGAUUCUGUACUGAUGCAUAACUUCGCUCGGAACGCGGCAAGAAUUAACAAUGGAAGAAAAUACUACAGACUUGUUUAUUAACGAUAAAGUUAUUUUAGUUUUUAUGAAAUAGCGAUUGAAUAAAAAUAUUAGGUAUA